rnacentral:rRNA from 1 species
UGUUCGUUAUUUAGGGCGCAUGGUGGAUGCCUUGGCAUGCUGAGCCGAUGAAGGACGUGAAAGGCUGCGUUAAGCCUCGGGGAGUUGUCAAUUGAGCGUUGAUCCGAGGAUGUCCGAAUGGGGAAACCUGGCACCUGUUAUGGGGUGUUACCCUUCAGUGAAUUCAUAGCUGUUGUGGGGGUUACGCGGGGAAGUGAAACAUCUCAGUACCCGUAGGAAGAGAAAAUAAUAAUGAUUCUGCUAGUAGUGGCGAACGAACGUGGAUGAGGCUAAACCGUGUGCAUGUGAUACCUGGUAGGGGUUGUGUGUGCGGUGUUGUGGGCCCUGAUGAGGAUGGCUACUGACGUCCUGCCCGCGCAUUGUUGUUAGGUGAAGUGGUGUGGAAACGCCUGCCGUAGAAGGUGAUAGUCCUGUAGCUGAAGAUGAUGGUGUGUGGGUUGUUGGGUUGCCCGAGUAGCAGCGGGCUCGUGGAAUCUGCUGUGAAUCUGCCGGGACCACCCGGUAAGCCUAAAUACUCAGUGUGACCGAUAGUGGAUAGUACCGUGAGGGAAUGGUGAAAAGUACCCCGGGAGGGGAGUGAAAUAGUUCCUGAAACCAUGU